GUACACUCCUACGGGAGGCAGCAGUGGGGAAUAUUGCACAAUGGGCGCAAGCCUGAUGCAGCCAUGCCGCGUGUAUGAAGAAGGCCUUCGGGUUGUAAAGUACUUUCAGCGGGGAGGAAGGCGAUAAGGUUAAUAACCUUGUCGAUUGACGUUACCCGCAGAAGAAGCACCGGCUAACUCCGUGCCAGCAGCCGCGGUAAUACGGAGGGUGCAAGCGUUAAUCGGAAUUACUGGGCGUAAAGCGCACGCAGGCGGUCUGUCAAGUCGGAUGUGAAAUCCCCGGGCUCAACCUGGGAACUGCAUUCGAAACUGGCAGGCUAGAGUCUUGUAGAGGGGGGUAGAAUUCCAGGUGUAGCGGUGAAAUGCGUAGAGAUCUGGAGGAAUACCGGUGGCGAAGGCGGCCCCCUGGACAAAGACUGACGCUCAGGUGCGAAAGCGUGGGGAGCAAACAGGAUUAGAAACCCCAGUAGUCCCA
rnacentral:rRNA from 1 species